UAGUAUUGUAUCCAAACGGACCUCUAAGCAUAAUAUUUCGUCUUUAACCUUCCUCUUCUCCUCUUCACCUGCACUAAAUACUUUGAUUUGGGCAUCUCUUUUCCGAUCGGCAACACAGGAAGGAAAACAACGCAAGAGUUUUACUUCAAAUGUCGAUGCUUGUUUUCCACUAAAAGGAAGCGUGUUGCAGUCUGAGAGAGAGCCAUGUGAGGAAGAGGAAGGUGGAGAGAAGAAAAAGGAAAGACAUGGGGCUUCUUAAGGAAGUGUAGAAUAAAAGAAGGUAAAAGAGUAAAAUCACAUGAGUGUGGGGUUUAGAAUUUUUCUUCUCUCCAAACGGCAACAUCCUCGCACUCCCACUCUCUCCUCUAUCUUCAAGUGCGCGCCUAGUUCCAACCAGCCCUCCCUCCACCAACGAAGCUCCUUUGCCGCACCACCCACCACGGCAUCAUCUUCAUCGACACCACCGCAGACUAGAAUCGAAGAAU